UUGAAAGGGAAACGAUUGAAGUCAGUCGUGCUGGCGCGAAAUCAACCUUCUCGUCUUGAGAUCACAUGGCGUGGCGAGCCUCAAAACCGUCACGAAGCGUGAACUCUUGGUGAAAUGGAGCACUUUCGUGUCCGCUGGUUAACAUCAAUUUCGAACGUCAUAAAAAGGCUGGAGGGAUGUGGCUCCUUCGGGAGUGUUAUAACCUUUAGCGGAAUGUGGUGUUCGGGAUUGAGGAUUGCAACGAAUACCUUUAGGGCUGUUCCACCUGGCUUCUCUUUGGUAUCCUGGUGACGACAGCUUGCUGACGUCGUUAGGAUUCGCCUUUGAACAGGUUAGAGUGUGUGCAAAUUCGUUAAGGAUGUUGACGUA
rnacentral:rRNA from 1 species